rnacentral:rRNA from 1 species
AUCAACGCAGGCGGCGUGCCUCAGACAUGCAAGUCGAACGAUUAAGACUUCCUUCGGGAAGUGCAUAAAGUGGCGCACGGGUGAGUAACACGUAAGUAAUCUACCUUCGAGUGGGGAAUAACAUCGGGAAACCGAUGCUAAUACCGCAUAAUGCAGCGGCAUCGAAAGAUGACAGUUGUUAAAGGAGCAAUUCGCUUGAAGAGGAGCCUGCGGCAGAUUAGCUAGUUGGUAAGGUAAUGGCUUACCAAGGCUACGAUCUGUAUCCGGUCUAAGAGGACGGUCGGACACACUGACACUGAAUAAACGGGUCAGACUCCUACGGGAGGCAGCAGUCGGGAAUUUUGGGCAAUGGGCGAAAGCCUGACCCAGUAACGCCGCGUGAAGGAUGAAGUAUUUCGGUAUGUAAACUUCGAAAGAAUGGGAAGAACUCAAUGACGGUACCAUUUAUAAGCUCCGGCUAACUACGUGCCAGCAGCCGCGGUAAUACGUAGGGAGCAAGCGUUGUUCGGAUUUACUGGGCGUAAAGCGCGAGCAGGCGGCUCGACAAGUUCGAUGUGAAAGCGCCCGGCUCAACCGGGCGAGGCCAUUGGAAACUAUCGGGCUGGAGGGCAGUAGAGGCAGGCGGAAUUCCGGGUGGAGUGGUGAAAUGCGUAGAGAUCCGGAGGAACACCAGAGGCGAAGGCGGCCUGCUGGGCUGCACACUGACGCUGAGCCGCGAAAGCCAGGGGAGCGAACGGGAUUAGAAACCCCGGUAGUCCUGGCCGUAAACGAUGUGUGCUGGAUGGUGGCGGGAUUCCGUCGCUGUCGAAGCCAACGCGAUAAGCACACCGCCUGGGGAGUACGGUCGCAAGGCUAAAACUCAAAGGAAUUGACGGGGGCCCGCACAAGCGGGUGGAGCAUGUGGUUUAAUUCGACGCUACGCGAAGAACCUUACCUGGGCUCGAACGACUGGUGGUAGUCCGGUGGAAACACUGGGCGACCCGCAAGGGAGCCAGCCGAGGUGCUGCAUGGCUGUCGUCAGCUCGUGUCGUGAGAUGUUGGGUUAAGUCCCGCAACGAGCGCAACCCCUAUCCUGUGUUGCUACCCGCAAGGGAGGACUCUCAGGAGACUGCCGUCGCCGGAUAACGUGGAGGAAGAGGUGGGGAUGACGUCAAGUCAUCAUGGCCUUUAUGUCCAGGGCUACACACGUGCUACAAUGGCGUACACAAUGGGAAGCAAGACCGCAAGGUGGAGCAAAUCCUCAAAGUACGCCCCAGUUCAGAUCGAGGGCUGCAGACUCGCCCUCGUGAAGGUGGAAUCGCUAGUAAUCGCGGAUCAGCACGGCCGCGGUGAAUACGUUCCCGGGCCUUGUACACACCGCCCGUCACACCACGAAAGUCGAUUGCAACCGAAAUGGCCCCUCGCGGGCUAUGAAAUUGGUGAUCGGUGAUUGGGGUGAAGUCGUAACAAGGUA